rnacentral:rRNA from 1 species
CGCACAUAAGACAUGCAAGGUCGAACGGAAGUCGUUGUAAUGAUGUGGACAUGAACGGAGAACUUGUCAAAGAGAGUGAAAAUUGACUUACAACAAUGGCUUUAGUGGCGGACUGGUGAGUAAUGUAUAAGUAACCUGCCUAUCAGAGGGGAACAACAGUUGGAAACGACUGCUAAUACCGCAUAUGCCAUAAGGGAGACAUCUCCCAAGUGGGAAAGGAGCAAUCCGCUGAUAGAUGGACUUAUAUCUGAUUAGCUAGUUGGUAUGGUAACGGCAUACCAAGGCGACGAUCAGUAGCCGGACUGAGAGGUUAAACGGCCACAUUGGGACUGAGAUACGGCCCAGACUCCUACGGGAGGCAGCAGUCGGGAAUAUUGCGCAAUGGAGGAAACUCUGACGCAGUGACGCCGCGUGCAGGAAGAAGGUUUUCGGAUUGUAAACUGCUUUAGACAGGGAAGAAAAAGGACAGUACCUGUAGAAUAAGCUCCGGCUAACUACGUGCCAGCAGCGGC